rnacentral:rRNA from 1 species
GACGAACGCUGGCGGCGUGCUUAACACAUGCAAGUCGAGCGGUAAGGCCCUUUCGGGGGUACGACGAGCGGCGAACGGGUGAGUAACACGUGGGUGACCUGCCCUCAGCUCUGGGAGUAAGCCCGGGAAACUGGGUCUAAUACCGGAUAUGACUCCAUGACGCAUGUUGUGGGGUGGAAAGCCUUGUGCGGCUGAGGAUGGGCCCGCGGCCUAUCAGCUUGUUGGUGGGGUGAGGCCUACCAAGGCGACGACGGGUAGCCGGCCUGAGAGGGCGACCGGCCACACUGGGACUGAGACACGGCCCAGACUCCUACGGGAGGCAGCAGUGGGGAAUCUUGCGCAAUGGGCGAAAAGCCUAACGCAGCGACGCCGCGUGAGGGAUGACGGCCUGGUUGUAA